UAGGGAAUCUUCGGCAAUGGACGGAAGUCUGACCGAGCAACGCCGCGUGAGUGAAGAAGGUUUUUGGAUCGUAAAGCUCUGUUGUUAGAGAAGAACGUUGGUAGGAGUGGAAAAUCUACCAAGUGACGGUAACUAACCAGAAAGGGACGGCUAACUACGUGCCCGCAGCCGCGGUAAUACGUAGGUCCCGAGCGUUGUCCGGAUUUAUUGGGCGUAAAGCGAGCGCAGGCGGUUCUUUAAGUCUGAAGUUAAAGGCAGUGGCUUAACCAUUGAACGCUGUAGAAACUGGAGGAAUUGGGUGAAGAAGGGGAGAGUGGAAUUCCAUGUGUAGCGGUGACAUGCGUAGAUACAUGGAGGAACACCGGUGGCGAAAGCGGCUCUCUGGUCUGUAACUGACGCUGAGGCUAGAAAACGUGGGGAGCAAACAGG
rnacentral:rRNA from 1 species